GAGACACCCUUAUGAGGAAGGACUUGCUUCAGUGGGGCUUUGGUGCUCACUGAGUCUGCCCCUUGAGUGUGUAGCU
rfam:Myotis lucifugus cont2.46970, whole genome shotgun sequence.